AAAAAAUAUAAAACAAAAAUUGUAGGAGUAGCAGAGAGCUUGAAAAUAAAAGAAUUUGGCGGUAAAUUAGACUAAUUAGAGGAACCUGUAAAGUAAAUGAUAGUCCACAAAUAUCUUACCCANNNUGGUAUAACAGUUUGUAUACCUCCGUUUACAGAAUAAUUUAAAAGAAUAUUUUCUUAAUCAAUAAAUUUARAAAUUCAGGUCAAGGUGCAGCUUAUGUCUGGGAAAGUUAUGGGUUACAAUAAAGGAGUUUAUAUGAAAAUAGGAUGAAAGUUCUAUAGAAGGUGGAUUUAAAUGUAAAUAAAUAAAAUUAAGGUUUGUUGAAUAAGCACUGAAUUAUGC
rnacentral:rRNA from 1 species